UGUGGCCAAAUAGGGAAUCCUACUACACUGUUGGUGGGUGUAUAAAUUUGUUGAAACACUCUGGGUAGCAGUGUGGAGGUUCCUCAAAAGACUAAACAUAGAGUUUACUUAUGACCCAGCAACGCCACUUCUGG